AAAAGAAUGAAGAAAAGAAAAAGAAGAAAGGAAAAAGAAGAAAUGAAAGGAAGAGAGGGAAUGAAAGAGAGAAAAUGAGAAAGAGAGUUAGAUGAAAAGAAAAGAGCAUAAAUAAAAGCAUGAUUGAAGUUGAUGUAGGAAUUGCAUCGAGUAAUGCUAUUAUUGUGAUUCGCCCCCCCCUAAUCGUCAAUUGAUGUGCGCAGGGUGUUCGAAAGUGUGAGUUAAAGUGUUAUACAUUUCCGAUUUGGCGCAAUUGAAGUAAUUUCAGGAAAUCGCAAGAAGGGUCGCGUGAACCCUUUUUUUUAUCGGAGACGACUUAGCGAGUCGAGGGGUCGUAUACUGGCGGUUGAUCGAGGUGAGGGGGAUCGCGCAGUAGUUAGCAACUCCUACCAGCAUGUCUUUACAGUAGAAGGCCACCAGAUAGAGUACUAUAAUUGUACAACUUGCUUAUGCUCGGGAGAGUCUGGUUUGUUCUCAUGUAUUUUCCUUUGUAGUUGGGGCUUAUUUGGUGAUGUACAUGUUGUAUGGUAACUUGGUGGGAAAUAGCGCUCUGUUACAUGUUACUUCUUUUGAUUCUGGUGUUGUGGAUGUUUGUCAUAGUUGACCUUGCGGUUGUUUGUUCAUGUCGACUUUGUUACCGCUUCGUUCGGGCAGGGGAAACUCUGUCCGUUCGGCGGGUCUGUUAGCGUCCCGUAGUCUUCCGCUGCGAACUCGGGGCGUGACAGCCGGAUAAAUCUAAUGCUGUGGGGAAAAAAAGUUGCUAAUUAUUAAGGCUUCAUUUCAUUUCGUUAUAUUGACAUUUUUCAAAAAACUUAAACUUUAGGCAAUUGAUUACACAUUAUAUUGACAUUUUCCCCUUGAAUAUCGGAUGGUUUUGAUGGCUGCGAUCGACCCGACCCUUCUUAACUGGUGAUGGGGACACUUUGGAUGGCCUACUUUGUAGGCAACCGAUUGCUCCCUGCUAUGCCAAAAAAAAGACUUCGGCAGCGAUCUAAUACGCAAAAAAAGACUUCGACGGCGAUCUAAUAAUGUUCGAUGGGUAGGGAAGCCUUAGCAAAGUAUAUUUAUUUUCACUAUCAGGUUUUGUUUUCGCUCCUACUCUAUAUUUGUAAAGAAUUUAUUUUCAUCUCGAUUCAUUUAGUCUAUUUGUUAUGGUUUCCAUGGUCUGAUUUAGUUUCCUAUGUCUUCCUGCUGCCUGUGGGGUUUUUGCUGCAUUUUAUACAUAUUUUCUCUUCAUUGUUGUCCUGUGUGCUCUACGAUAAUAUUUAUGAUGGCCUUCCCCUUGAAUGUCAAAUCGUUGUGAUAAUUGAGAGGGUCCCGGGCCUUCUUGACUGGUUAUGUGGCCACUUUGGAUGGCCACUUUGGAUGGCCUUUGUACUCGAUUAAUAUUCCAGCUUCAACUUUGAUUGAUUAAACUCUUCUUUGUUCUCUUUAGGUUUCUGGAUAACCACCAAAUUUUCUACUCUUUGUGCCAAGCUGUGGUGUUCUAAUGCAAUUGUAUAUGUAAACCUUAGUGCCUUAGCACAUAUUAGUGUAAAGUUGCAUGAGUUAGAUCUAACUGAAAUUGUUGCAUGAAUGAUUGCAUAUUGCAUUCACUUUAGAGAACAAAUUUGAGUUUUAGUUGGAUUCUUCGUUUGAAAAUUGCAUCUUUAGAAUUUGAGCUGAGUAUAAUAGCUACAUAUGUAGCUUAACGAGCCUUCCUCACUACGUAAAUUGUGUAAAAUAAUGCAAUUCAGGUAUGAAAUUUGGUAAUAUUCAUUUUUUUAUGCAGUGAGUAAACUUGCAAGCAUUGGUUUUAUACUUCAGUUUCCAGUUUUGGUUGUUUGCAGGAGAGAAGCCAAAGUUCUCUUGGUGAUUCACCUAUUGAUGGCAGCGAUAAUUGAGAGGGGCCCGGGGGUUCUGGCUCAAUCAACAGUACUAAGCAAGGAGGCUGCGGCCCAAAUCUAAUAAUGUUCGGUGGCCGGGGGAGUCUGAGCAGGGUAUAUUUAUUUAUUUCCAUGUCCAUUCACGUAUGCUGUUUGGUGUGAUUUUCGCAGGCUGAAUUAUUAUGAAGCUUCUCAUCUUUCUUGCAAGCAUUGAUUUUAUGCUUCAGUUUUCAAUUUUGGUUGUUUACCGGAGAGAAGCCAGGGUUCUCUUGGUAAUUCGGUUGUUGGUAUUUAGCAAAACUACAUUUUUAUUGUAACUCUUACGCAAAUUCGCAUCUUUCUAUUACGAGGUUAACUUUAUUUUAAUAUUUCUACUACAUGGUUAACUUUGUAAAUACAAUUUUACUUGAAUGAAUCAUAAUAAUCAUAAUAAUCUAGAAGUUAAAAAGAA